GAUGAAGAACGCAGCGAAAUGCGAUAAGUAAUGUGAAUUGCAGAAUUCAGUGAAUCAUCGAAUCUUUGAACGCACAUUGCGCCCGUCAGUAUUCUGGCGGGCAUGCCUGUUCGAGCGUCAUUACGCCCCUCAAGUCCCCUGUGGACUUGGUGUUGGGGAUCGGCGAGGCUGGUUUUCCAGCACAGCCGUCCCUUAAAUUAAUUGGCGGUCUCGCCGUGGCCCUCCUCUGCGCAGUAGUAAAACACUCGCAACAGGAGCCCGGCGCGGUCCACUGCCGUAAAACCCCCCAACUUUUUAUAGUUGACCUCGGAUCAGGUAGGACUACCCGCUGAACUUAAGCAUAUCAAUAAGCGGAGGA
rnacentral:misc_RNA from 1 species